AGCGAACGCUGGCGGCGUGCCUAACACAUGCAAGUCGAACGUGAAAGGGAGCAAUCCCAAGUAAAGUGGCGUACGGGUGAGUAACACGUAGGUAAUCUACCCCAGAAUCUGGAAUAACCGGCCGAAAGGCUGGCUAAUACUGGAUAGAGCGACGGAAUCCGUAAUUGGGUUUUUCGGGAAAGGGAGCCUGUAAAAAGGCCUUCGUUCUGGGAUGAGCCUGCGUCCCAUCAGCUAGUUGGUGAGGUAAAAGCUUACCAAGGCAAUGACGGGUAGCUGGUCCUAGAGGACGAUCCGGCAACACUGGACCUGAACCACGUCCCGACCCCCACGGGAGGCAGCAGUUGGGAAUUCUGCGGCAUGGACCAAAGUCCGACCCCGCCACGCCGCGUGAGUGAAGAAGGCCUUCCGGUUGUAAAGCUCUGUCGGGUUGGACGAAAAAGCCUGGAGUUCCAAGGCUCCGGAACCGGACGUAACACUAAAGGAAGCACCGGCUAACUCCGUG
rnacentral:rRNA from 1 species